GUUAUUUUAAUAUAUUUAGUAUAAUUGACUUCCAAUCAAUAAGUCUUUUUAGAAUUAACA
rnacentral:tRNA from 1 species